CAUGUCCUUGAAGGAAAAACGGGAACAGACCGAAUUGAAGGCAUGCUGAUAGAUUUACCUAAAGAAGACUUGAUAUGCUCGAGGUCAGAGGCAUUCUCGAAGAUGAAAAACCUAAGAUAUUUCAUAAAUCAUAAUGCACGCUUCUCUGAGGCUCCUAGUUAUCUUUCUAAUGCGUUAAGAGUGCUUAAUUAGAACAUAUAUCCGUCGCAGUCAUUGCCAUAUAAUUUUCAUGGAAAGAAACUGGUUGAUUGCAGGUACUACCAUUAUCUCCAAUUUUGGUUUACAGAAUUUCCAGAACAUGACCAAAAUGGAUUUGUCUUUUUGUGAAUUUCUGACAAAAAUCCUCGAUCUUUCUCGGAUUCCAAAUUUAGAGUGGUUGGAUUUUGCUAAGGUUCAUGCUUCUAUUGGAUCCCUUAAUAAGCUUGUGC